rnacentral:rRNA from 1 species
AUUGAACGCUGGCGGCAGGCUUAACACAUGCAAGUCGAGCGGAGUGAUGGUGCUUGCACUAUCACUUAGCGGCGGACGGGUGAGUAAUGCUUAGGAAUCUGCCAUUUAGUGGGGAACAACAUUCCGAAAGGAAUGCUAAUACCGCAUACGUCCUACGGGAGAAAGCAGGGGAUCUUCGGACCUUGCGCUAAAUGAUGAGCCUAAGUCGGAUUAGCUAGUUGGUGGGGUAAAGGCCUACCGAGGCGACGAUCUGUAGCGGGUCUGAGAGGAUGAUCCGCCACACUGGGACUGAGACACGGCCCAGACUCAUACGGGAGGCAGCAGUGGGGAAUAUUGGACAAUGGGCGGAAGCCUGAUCCAGCCAUGCCGCGUGUGUGAAGAAGGCCUUUUGGUUGUAAAGCACUUUAAGCGAGGAGGAGGCUACUAGUACUAAUACUACUGGAUAGUGGACGUUACUCGCAGAAUAAGCACCGGCUAACUCUGUGCCAGCCGCCGCCGUAAAAC